rnacentral:lncRNA from 1 species
GUAUAUACAAACCUUUGGAAUGACCCUUCUUUUGCUAAUUCUCUAUAUGCCACAUGCCCACCAUCUUCAAAACUUGAGGCUGCUAACAAAUCAAAGCUAGUGUUGCAUGCAUGUAAAUGUGUACGUCAGGAUAACGAAACUAGACAUCAACCUAAAUGAAAUAGAUUACCUGAUCUAUCGGAGCUAAUGAUAUUGCUACACAUUGCUACCCAAAUCACCAAACCCUAACCACACUGAAUCCUAGCAAUCCCAAGCAAAUGAACCAAAUCAGGGGGAAACAAAGGAGGUACCCGCUAGGAAUGUCUUCAAGUCAUGGAAGAGACAAUCAGGGGAGGAAUGGGUUUGAUCUAGGCAGAGCCACCAUUUUCGCUCCUAUGAGCUAGUUGGGAAGAGGAGAGUGAAGUGAGAGGAGGAAAAAGGUAUGUAUAUGCGACUGAGUCACCCCGAAGUUCCUGGCGCAACUUAGUGACACUAAUGGGUAUGGUGGGAAGCCUUCGGUCGUGUCAAUGCAUGUGGCGCCACUUAGUUAUGAGUUGUAUAAGUGUUUUGUUGCGACCAAAAGGACUAGUUCUUGGAAAUUUAGUUCAAGAUGGCUAUUAUUAAAAUAUUAAUUUUUUGGGGGAUGUGGGGCAAAAACAUUGAUUAGGGGACUAUUAUUUUAUUAUAUUCAUUAUCAACUUCUUUCCAGUAGAAAGCUCCAUUUUUACAAUUUCAAUCAUGGGGUCAAUAGUUAUUUAUCCAAGCGCUAGGAGGCUAGGAUGCAUGUUUAAGACAACUAUAGAAAAUUAUAAUAAGGAACAACAUUCAUGAUUCAAUAAAUAAAAACAAUAACAGUUCAAUUUAUAGAGUGAGCGCUCUCACCAGAUAGCAUAUCUUGUUUUUUUUUCUUUUGAGAGGUGCUUAGAGGUGGCGAAGGUGCCAAGGCUAAGGGGUGUUUGGUUGGGGUGUUAAAGUUUAACAUGUACUGUAGUAUUUUUAUUUUAUUUGAUAAUUAGUAUCCAAUCAUUGACUAAUUAGGUUCAAAAGAUUCGCCUCGCAAAUUACUCUCUAGCUAUGUUUUUAGUUUUCUAAAUAGUCUAUAUUUAGUACUUAUGCAUGUAUCUAAAUAUUCGAUGUGACGAGCGGUAAACUUAGCAAGAGCAACCAAAUGGAGCCUAACAAGAAGAGUAGCCGAGAAAGCUGAUGAACAAAACCAAGCCGCAAAAAUCUAAACGGAAUAAUCAUUGGGGGCUCCUCCUUUGAAAUCAAAGGUGAGCAAAACCUGGGGAUAGAAAACCCAAACCCCCCACUAAAAACUAGAAUGAUAAUUUUUUAAUAAGGGAUAUAUAAAUAUCCGGCCUCUAUAUCUAGAGAUUUACACAACCAAUUAUUACAACGUUUGAGAUAAAAAAAGAGGAGAAAAAGCAAGUCAUGGUCUUAAACAUUGACCAGAAAAUUAAAGCAAACAAUAAAUAUGUUUCCAUCUUUUAUUAGAUAUCUCUAAAGCAAUUGUGUCCAAUCUCUUGCUUAUCGAUGUGAAGAUAUCCUUGGCAUGCUCAUCACGCUGUAGCGGGGCCCAGAAACGGAGCUAAUAUGCUCCCCUAAAAAUAACCUGUAUAAUGAAGUUAGAUAAUUAAAAUGAUAUCUCCAUAGAUUACUUACCAAGGGAAAAGUCCGAAUCCUCCAGAGAUUUUGGAGUUUCUAAGUUAGGCCUUGUUUAGCUUAAAAUUUUUUGGAAAAACAACACUGUAGUAUUUUGUUUUUAUUUGACAAAUAUUGUCUAAUCAUAGAGUAACUAGGCUUAAAAGAUUCGUCUCGCAAUUAACUAUAUAAUUAGUUUUUGUUUUUAUUUAUAUUUGAUGUUUAUACAUGUGCCGCAAGAUUCGAUGUGACGGAAAAUCUUGAAAAGUUUUGGUUUUUUUUUUAACUAAACAAGGCCGGUCUGGUUUUUUUCCCGCUGCGAUCACAUCACAGCAUUUUUUUUUCUUUUUGAUAAGUCAUCACAUAUUCACAUCACGACUUAUCGCUGUAUGGAAGUUUCAGUCUGACUGCGCCACUGAAAUGCUGAAAGUUCGGUUCUUUGUUGACGGAAGUACAGGUCACUUGAUUAUCUUGGACCAGUUAUUAGCCUGCAUGUUUAGAUGGACUAAGACUAUUUUUAACUACUACUUAUUACACAGCUCUAGUUCAAAGCUGGAUCAAGUAAUAGUUUGCGAGCUUAUUCGCUUGUCUGAAAAGUCACAGAGUGAAAGUAAUGUUUGCUGAUUUAUAUAAGAGAAAAACAGUUGAAUGACAGAUUCAGCAAACAAACUCAAGCGAACAGACUUGAAUCCUCUAAUGCUCCAGGAUACUCUUCAAAGCAAUCAUGGAUGCUUAAUUAGGUGUCUUCAAAAUUCCAAAAGUUUACAAGAUUUUUUAUCACAUCGAAUCUUUUAACGCAUGCAUGAAGCAUUAUAUAUAGACAAAAAAAUAAUUAAUUGCACAAUUUAUCUAGUCUAUGGUUGAAUAAUAAUUAUUAAAUAAUUCAAAAACACUACCGUAUCAAACUUUAAAAACUUUUAGUAUCUAACAAGGUGUAAGAUAGCCGACAAGAAAUGCGAUCGACAAGGGAGCGGGUCAGUAAUCACCGCACUUUAUGAGAAGACAUUGACAUGCAAGAACGGCAGCUUGCUCAUGGAUCCUGCCAGGAUUCUACAGGAGGUGACAUGUCACACGUGCCUCUCAGCAGCUGCCAAACUUAACUUGUCAAGCUUCCUGCUUUCAUAUGUGAUUGUUAUACUUCCUAAGAGAAACUAAUUCUAAAAAAAAUUUGAAACUGAUAUACAGUAUCAGGUAAAUCCGAUGAAUCUAUCCGUAGUGCAGAACCACUUGACGAAAUGCAGGGGUUAGAGCUAGCUCCAAUAGGAAACGGUAGCUUGUCAGACCUCUCCUUUCACACACCUUGCGAAACUAGUCUUUGCCCUAAUCAUCAACAUGAUGCAACAAGUGGAACAUGUCGAUUUCAGUGGGACUCUGACUAAAAUGAUUGAGCUGCAUAUCUAUCUCCAUAUAUAUAGCUGAAGAAAGAAUCGCGCUCUGUUAUUAUCCAGUUAAUCGAGUCCGUCAAUUAGCGUUUUUUUUUCUUCAGAAUGUAUUCCUUUGCCAUGGACAAAAACGUUUCAACCACCUGUGUGUGUCCAUGUGUCAUGUGUGCAUAUGCAUCGAGUGAUUGUGGCAUUUCCUUGAAUUAAACCUUCGUCUUAUCAAGUUGGUUUAGCUACCAUUGUCCUUGGCGUCUGGUUUGCCACCACUAUAUUCACCAUCUGCUAACUUCACGGCCAUGCAUCCUCACCCAUUUCUGACGUCACCACAACUCUCAUCAUCAUCAAACCUGAGUAUUUGGUGGGCUAGGCUGGCAAAAAAAAGCACGGGUUUUUAGGCCUUGUUUAGAACCGAAACUUUUUGGAUUUGAAUAUUAUAGCAUUUUUAUUUGUAUUUGAUAAUUAUUGUUCAAUCAUGGACUAACUAGAUUUAAAAGAUUUGUCUCGCAAAUUACAGGCAAACUAUGCAAUUAGUUUAUUUUUUAUCUAUAUUUAGUACUCCAUGCAUGUGUUCGCAAGAUUCAAUGUGAUGGAAAAAAUCUUUAAAAAAAUUGAACUUCAGGUGUAACUAAACAAGGUCUUAAUCGAAUUUUCAUAUCCAGUAAUGUCCAAUGGGCGAGGGCAGACAUCUGCUUUCUAGCUAGGCCAAUGUUGUGGUGGCCCCCACUCAUUUUAGUUAAAAAAAAUAAAUAGUUCAAACCAAGAAAAAAAUAGUGAGCUUACUUCACCAUGUCUAGGUUGUGUCCAAUAAUAUAUGUGGGCCAAGGCAAGCCUGGCGGGCUUAGGAUGGCUAGGUCUGUUUUGCUUAAGUUAGCUAAUGACACAUCAUUGCCUUGUUCCUCCACCCUAGCUCCUAUCUCCGCCUCUGGCAUGGUUGCCUCCCUAGAACCCCUUUCUAAGGACACCAAGCAUAAUAUGACCCAACAACACCCUCAAACCCAAAGGGGUUGCCUACAAUGUGGAGAGCAUCUUCUGAAAUCAAGAUUGAUUUUUAGGCACAUGUAGCAUAAGAGAUGUGUAAAAAAAAUAUUUACACUAAAUGCUUCAAAAUAGUACACUCUGAGCUCACCAAGACUAUGCAUACACUGUACAGGAUCAUAUAGCAAUGGUCAUUGUCUAGUUCUAUGUACAUGAAAAAAAAAGAGCUAUGGUUAAUGGAUAAGACAAUCAUAUAUGCUAGGAGAACCCCAGUAGGGGGGCACCAUAAUAACUCCAAAGUCCAAGGUUUGCCUGAGUUGGACCUCUAGAGGAUCUCUUAAGGCUCUGACUACUAAGGGGAGCCCUAAGUAGCGCAAGGAUCUCAUUGGGUCUCCGAAAGCAAACCUAUGCCAAGACAUUGAGCCAUGGGCUCUAGAGUCCUACUUAUCCCUUAAGAAAUAGGGAGGGACGAAGAACUAGCAAUCGAUGUUUACAAGUAGGUCACCACUCACCACCCCCUACUAUGAGUUAACCAAUGACAUAAUGGCGUGUUGAUCACUAUUGGAAAGGUCGUCUCGAUCAGGAUUGAAAGGAAAUAACCUUGCAACCCUUGAAUAAUAUAACAAAGAAAUAGUGGUGAUGGUGGUGGUAAAUAGAGUGGCAUAAUCAUAGAGAAGGUUUGUGAUGGUUCCUAGUAGACGCAGGCAAAUUUGGCUUGGUAUGUGGCAUCAAUAGCACCGGGCUUGGGCAGAGUUAGCCAAUACCAAAAGACCCAUCUUGAAACUAUUAUAGUACCAAUUAGGCUUUUUUGUCUAUACCAGGCGGACCUACCAGGUCCGGUAAAAAGUACUUAUAUCUAGACACAUAAUUUUGACCGAAGUAUUCUUUUGUCUACCUUAGCUUGACCCACAAAAUACCCAAAGUGUAAUUCCUACUAUAUCAGUUUCCAAAAUUUUAGGUUUUUGGGCACUGUAGUACUUUCGUUUCUAUUUGACAAACAUUAUCCAAUCAUGGACUAACUAAGUUCAAAAGGUUCAUCUCGUAAUUUAUAGGCAAACUGUGCAAUUAGUUUUUGUUUUCAUCUAUAUUUAAUACUUCAUGCAUGUGCCGCAAGAUUCGAUGUGAUAAAAAAUCUUGAAAAUUUUUGCAAAGUAAACAAGGCCUAAAAUGAAAGGACAUGUGCAAAUACUUUUUGAUUAAAAAAAAGAGAGAGGUGACUAAUAGAUUUGACUGAAACCUGUAGUCCAUGAGUCCAUAAGUGUACUCUGCGGGAGAGCGGGGCCGGUCCAUUCUGAGGGUGAAAAAUCAUUUAAAAAUAUAUGUCUCUACCUUAUUAUUUAAUGUUUGGAUCGAUAUAUAUGAUGCCCAAGGACCAAGGUGCCUACUGCGUAGAGUCCCUUGUUCAUCAGCAAGAAGUGUCAGAAAACAGCCGGCGACACAGUUGAGGCAGAAGAAGCUUCUCUCGUCCUGGUGUUUGAGUUUCAGUAGGCAGCAUGGCGCAUGCUCAAGAAAUUCAGCUCCAGAUCAGAGGUACUAAAAUCAUUUGCCUUCUCUUCUUCCUGGUUGCUUUUGUUGUGCCUUAUCAUGUGUAGAUUUUAAAAACAAUUCUUGAAUUUCCAGAGUGGUUCUUUCAUGUGCCUGUUUUCCCCCCUGAUUGGAGAGUUCUACUUCUAUGUUCAUGCAUGGUUGGAAACUGCUCAUCCUUGAAUUAUUGAUGCAUCUGAAAGGUCCAGCUUAGACUGUUCUUGUACAGUCUGCUUUGCCGUCCUGAGCUAGCAAAGAUUGUAGGAAACAACGUUCUGGCAGUAGGGGCUUCGGCCCCUCUAGAUUCGUCAAAAAAAACAAUGUUCUGGCAUUGAGAUACUCUCCCCUCAAGAUCUCAAUCUUUUUCUUUUUAUAAGUUGGCCAGUUAAAAAUGUUUCUUUAAAAAAAAAGAAAAAAGAAAACAGAGUAGCUUUCCGCCUGUCACUGAAAAAAUAUAAAUAUAUAAACUACAGUACAGCAAUUCCUGCAUGGUCCACCCUAUCACCAUUGAAUUCGGUAGUUGAUUGGUGAAAGCAUACUGAAACGGGAAGUAUUCAGUAUUAACCUAGCCAUGUCGUAUUAAUACUGCACGAGGUCGUGAGGGGGAUUGUUCCACCAAGAAAUAAAUGGAGAAAUAAUAAUAAAUUUUGAUUGAUUCUUCUCUUCUCUUUUAUUUGUCCAGCUGAUUAACUGAAAACUUUAAUGUGCGACUGUAGAGAUUGAAAAAAUAUUUUGAUUUAAAAAACGAUUACUGCUGGUGUCAGAUUGACUGAAACGAAAAAAUUAUCUCUCGCAAAAGCAGAUCCAGUGCUCAUUUUACAUUUUAUAUGUUGGUACCAAAUUUGCUUCUUUUUCGUUUCCAUUAUUGCAGUACUCCGUCCGUAGUACUACUAACUAUACGACCGCAUCUUUGUUUUCUUUUCGUUGUAAUUGCACAAGGCAUUCCGGACAAGGAAUCCGUCCACGAAGACGCCGGUGAUGAACCCAAGGCCGACACGCGGUGGUCCACGAGAGUCAGCUUCCGAUGGUGGAUGACAGUGGUGGUGGACAUGCUCAUGGUUCUCUGUGGGACGACCGUGGCCACCCUCCUUGGCCGCCUGUACUACAACUCCGGCGGCAACAGCAAGUGGAUGGCCACUCUCACGCAGUCUGGUGGUUCGCCGCUUCUGGUCGUCCCGCUCCUCAUGACGCCGGCGUCCUCAGCGGACGAGCGCCGGCCGCCGGCGUCCAAGAUGUUUGCCGUGUACGCGGGCGUCGGGGUCAUGAUCGGCUUCGACAACCUCAUGUACUCGUACGCGCUGCAGUACCUGCCGGUGUCCACCUUCUCGCUCGUGGCCGCGACGCAGCUGGGCUUCAACGCCAUCACCUCGCGCCUCAUCAACGCGCAGCAGUUCACGGCGCUGAUCCUCAACUCCGUGGUCGUGCUCACCUUCUCCGCCGCGCUUCUCGGCGUCGGCUCCUCCUCCGACGAGACCUCCAGCGACGUGCCGCGCGGCAAGUACCCGGUGGGGUUCGUCCUCGUGCUGGCGGCCUCGGCGGUCUUCGCGCUCAUCCUGUCGCUCUUCGAGCUCAGCUUCGAGAAGGUGAUCCGGGUGCGGACGGCGCGGUGGGUGCUGCGGAUGCAGAUGUACACGAACCUGGUGGCGUCGGUGGUCUCCGUGGUGGGGCUGCUCGCGUCGGGGGACUGGCGGACGAUCCCGGGGGAGAUGGCGUCGUUCAAGGACGGGAGGGCGAGGUACGUGCUCACGCUGGUGGGCACGGCGGUGUCUUGGCAAGCGGCGGCAGUGGGCGUGGUGCGGCUGAUCAUGAGGGUGUCGUCGCUGUUCGCCAACGUGACGUGCACGCUGGCGCUGCCGCUGGUGCCGGUGUUCGCGGUGGUGCUGUUCGGGGACAAGAUGACGGGCAUCAAGGUCGUGGCCAUGCUCAUGGCGGUGUGGGGGUUCCUCUCCUACAUGUACCAGCACUACAUCGACGGCCGGCGGGCCGGGAACGCCGAGUGCCGCGUCUGCGCCACACGCACGGCAAGCGACACGCUCUUGCCCGCCUGAGGCUGAUCAAUGCUUACAUAUAUUCUGGUAUGUGCACAACAGCACAAGGCAUACAUUCAAGUACCCAACGAUCUAUUGUAUUUGUAGUCUCUGCCAGUCUAUUGGAAUAAUAACGAAUAGCAAGAUGCCUAGAGAUAGCAAUCAUUUUAAGGAAAAAAAAAACAUGCAAACUAGGUAGCAUUUUAUUAAAAAUACUAAUAAAUUGUGAAAAUUUCAGUUUGCUAAAAUUUUUCUGUGUCCCCGUCUCGUCCAGAAUCGGUCCCUCCGUCCGUUUAACAGAGAAAAAGAAAAUAGAAUAUUUUUUAGGGUUUAGGAUUUAGUGUUUCUUCUUUACGUUUUCUAUCAGCUCUGGCCUUGGCCGUCCACUUGUAGAAGAAAAUGAUUUUUUUUUCAUAGUUCCCAAUACAAAAUCUUCUAUAUCCUAUUAUUUUUUUUCUUUUAUUCUUUAAUUUGGCUAAAAAUUAAUACAUACGUAGUAAUUCAUAGAAAAUCUAAAAAUUACAAAACAAAUUUUGUUCAGCUCUAUAUGUAGAUCCAUGAAGUAAACAAAAAAUAGGUGCAAAGUGUUUGUCCUAUUAAUUUAUUUUUCUUUUAUUCUUUAUAUCGGCUGAAAAUUAAUAAAUGUGUAGAAAUUCAUAGAAAAAUCUAAAAAUUACAAAACAGAAUUUGUUCAGCUCCACAUAUGUAGAUCCAUGUAGUAAACAAAAAAUAUCACAAAUUUUAGUUUUUUUUUUUGCUGAAGAUGCUUGCCUAUGCUUUUUAGUGUAAAAUUGAAAUUGUAGUUAUCUUGCUCCAAUUAUUAUAAAAAUUUUAUGGUAGCCUAUUUAAUGUGAUGCUUGAUUUGUGGUAAAAGUUUUAGCACCAUUCGUGCAUAUCUCACUGAUUUACUAAUUUACUAAAUUUAUGCUUGCUAAGUAGUUUAGCAUCAAUUUAAGUAUGUAAAAAUAUAAAAAAGAUGCUUCCACUACCUUUGCACAAUGUGUUGUUGUAUCAUAUGAACACUUCAUAAGCCCAUGUGUUUAUAGUCUACAUACAUUUAACUGAUAUAUCAUAUUUUAUAGGAAUCCUAAUCUAAAUAAAAAAAUAAAGCUAGCAACAAACUUCUCAUGUUUUAAUAUAAUACUAUUUUUAUUAUUAAAUAAAUAUGUCUCCAAGCUGCAUAAUAUUGUAAAUAUUAACUAUCUCAUACCAUAGAUGUCAUGGUUAUCAAUAAAAUAAACUAUGGACUUUAAAUUUUAUAAAAAAGAUAAAUAUAAAUAGAUAUGUAACAUUAUGUCAUCACUUUUUAUGAUCAUUUGAUGUUUUUCUCCCGUUGCAACGCACGGGCAUAUUUGCUAGUUAAAAAUAAAAAAAGACACCCAAAUUCGUCUUCGACGAGGACUUACCCUUGAAUAAUGAUCUAAGUAUACAUCCACACUCUCAACCAAUUAAACUAGGCCUUGUUUAGUUCCAUUUUUUUUUGGUUUUAGGUAUUGUAGUACUUUUAUUUUUAUUUGGCAAAUUAUUGUCCAAUCAUAGACUAACUAGGCUCAAAAAAUUCAUCUCGCGAUUUACAGGUAAACUAUGUAAUUAGUUUUUGUUUUCAUCUAUAUUUAAUGUCUAAUGCAUGUGUCGCAUGAUUCGAUAUGACGGGAAAUCUUGAAAAAAAAAUAGUUUUUGGUUGAACUCAACAAGGCCCUAAUUCAGCAUCCUAAGUCUAGUAAACACCCACCCACGUUCCUGUGUCCAUAAUCAUUGCCUUCCAAGGUACGGCCUGGCAAAAUUUAACUUUGGUUGUGCCUCCUUUUGCAGCAAGUACUAGGACUAGGGUCUGAUCCAACGUGUUGCUCUAAAGACAAUUUGUAAAUUAGAUUUGUAUUGAUGCUUGAGGUACUGAAAGUCUGAAUCAAUGGAGGUUAGAGCCAUAUAGUCGGUAGGUAAGUAGAUAGCUAGCGUCAACAACACGUACAGAUUGAUAGCUUGAUGCUAAGAGAGACUGGAUCUUGGAAAGGUUGUCAUGGAAUGGAACCGAAACUGGUGAACUCAAUUUUUCUAUUACACGAGCGAAACAACUUGGCUGUAAGAGAGACUAGACCUUGUACGUGCAAGAUUACGGUGAAUUUUUUUAAAAAAAUUGGGUAAACUAAACAAAACCUGAGUACCCAUUUGCCGAUGCGAAAGCCCUGAGUGGACGAUGGCCCCGCUGCACAAAGAUCUCAUGUACGUUGAAGAGUCCAUAUUAACAAUUCGUCUGGGCUUUUUACGAGUAGAUAUAUGAAGCCUUCGUAUCUGGCCCAACUCUUUAACUGGUUUCCAUAUGGGCCUAACGCAUUAACUGGUUUUGCCUAGCUAAGCCUCAAAGGCCCAUCAUCUACUAAGGCCUAGCUAAGUCUGUUAAUUGUGUGUUAAACCAAAGUACCAAACACAAUGGUGGGAGAAAAGCAGUCAAAAUGAAUGCCUGCGAUGCAAGGGAGAUGGCAUACUACCUCGUUCUUACGAGUAGUUCCUACCGAUGAAGCAGACUCGGGUCUGGUUUCUCUCGCUAAAUUUUAGCUAGUUAAGAUAAUGUUUGGUUGUUGGCCAUCAUCUACCACAACUAACUUUAGGUAAGUGUGGCAACUGGCAAACCACAAAAAGUGUGGCUAGCAAAUUGGUUGCCACACUUUACCAUAUCUAAAAGAAUCUUGUCACACUUUUUAACUCUAUGACGUGUGGAGCCUAAAAGAAUCAUGCCUAAACUUAGUUAUCAACCAAACACUUGCCUAAAGUAAAGUGCGGUAAACUGUGGCUAGCAACCAAACAACCCCUAAAUUUGUAAAAAAUACCAACUAAAAGGAGCUAAAAUAGUUUAGUUCUACUAAUCAUCUAAAAGUAGCUAGAAUAAUUCUAGCUGGCAAAUUUAGUAAGAGAAAACAAACCUUUAUCUUAGUCCAGCAGAAACGAGACGACAGCUGAGGCGGGCACGCAGAAGCAACUGCUUCGCGGCGUGCUCACUCCUCCUAUAUCCGAUCCGCCGCUACGAAAGACGUCUUCACGUAUACGAAGUGCUUCAUCGUACAUAUAUGGCACGGGCGCGUGCAAAAGUGCAAUGUGCAUGCAAUGCUGAUGCCUGAAAGACACCUAACGAGAUGUAUACUGCCAGCGCCGCUGACAAUAAUCGUUCAUCAAUGUUGAAAACGUCAGAAACUCUUGGAAGUCUUCCUAGUAGCAUAAAACUGACGAGAAGGUCGAUACAUAU